rnacentral:lncRNA from 1 species
AAGAAGUGAUGUGGGCCUGGGCCUAUCCUUAACCCUUGAAGAGGUCUGGGCCCAAAGAAGAAGAAAUAUGGGCCUGGGCCAAUCCCUGACCCUGAAGAGGCCUGGGCCCAAAAGAAGUGAUGUGGGCCUGGGCCUAUCCCUAACCCUUGAAGAGGCCUGGGCCCAAAGAAGAAGAAAUAUGGACCUGGGCCAAUCCCUGACCCUGAAGACGCCUGGGGCCAAAAGAAGUGAUAUGGACCUGGGCCUAACCUAACCUGUGAAGAGGCCUGGGCCCAAAGAAGAAGAAAUAUGGGCCUGGGCCACUCCCUGACCCUGAAGAGGCCUGGGCCCAAAAGAAGUGAUGUGGGCCUGGGCCAAUCCCUGACCCUGAAGAGGCCUGGGCCCAAAAGAAGUGAUGUGGGCCUGGGUCUGUCCCUAACCCUUGAAGAGGCCUGGGCCCAAAGAAGAAGAAAUAUGGGCCUGGGCCAAUCCCUGACCCUGAAGAGGCCUGGGCCCAAAAAAAGUGAUGUGGGCCUGGGCCAAUCCCUGACCCUGAAGAGGCCUGGGCCCAAAAAAGUGAUGUGUGCCUGGGCCCAAAAAAGUGAUGUGGGCCUGGGCCUAAAAAAGUGAUGUGGGCCUGGGCCUAUCCUUGACCCUGAAGAGGCCUGGGCCCCAAAGAAGUGAUGUGGGCCUGGGCCUAUCCCUAACCUUUGAUGAGGCCUGGGCCCAAAGAAGGAGAAAUAUGGACCUGGGCCAAUUCCUGGCACUUAAAUGGCCUGGGCCCAAAAGUAAUGAUGUGGGCCUGGGCCUAUCUCUAACCCUUGAAGGGGCCCAGGCCCAAAGAAGAUGAAAUAUGGGCCUGGGCCUAUGCCUAAUCCCUGAAGAGUCCUGAGCACAAA